UACGUAGGGCGCAAGCGUUGUCCGGAAUUAUUGGGCAUAAAGAGCUCGUAGGCGGUUUGUCGCGUCUGCUGUGAAAACCUAAGGCUCAACCUUGGGCUUGCAGUGGGUACGGGCAGACUAGAGUGCGGUAGGGGUGACUGGAAUUCCUGGUGUAGCGGUGAAAUGCGCAGAUAUCAGGAGGAACACCGGUGGCGAAGGCGGGUCUCUGGGCAGUAACUGACGCUGAGGAGCGAAAGCGUGGGGAGCAAACAGG
rnacentral:rRNA from 1 species